UAGUGUAGAAUGUCCUUUUUUGCGAUAACACGCAAUCAAUACAACUUUCAACAACGGAUCUCUUGGCUCUCGCAUCGAUGAAGAACGCAGCGAAAUGCGAUACGUAAUGUGAAUUGCAGAAUUCAGUGAAUCAUCGAAUCUUUGAACGCACCUUGCGCCCCUUGGCAUUCCGAGGGGCACACCCGUUUGAGUGUCGUGAAAUUCUCAAAACCCUUUCUUUUGGUCAUUUUUGACCAUCGAAAGGGUCUUGGACUUGGAGGCCUUUUUGCUGGUUUCACCUUGAAGCGAGCUCCUCCCAAACGUAUUAGUGGGGUCUGCAUUGUCGGUCCUUGGCGUGAUAAGUUGUUUCUACGUCUUGGAUUUUUGGCGCUGUACACCUGCUUCUAACCGUCUUCAUUGACAACGAUGGUGUUC
rnacentral:rRNA from 1 species